rnacentral:rRNA from 1 species
GACGAACGCUGGCGGCGUGCUUAACACAUGCAAGUCGAACGGACAGGCCCCUUUGGGGGUACUCGAGUGGCGAACGGGUGAGUAACACUUGCGUAACCUUACCUUGACUUCGGGAUAACUUCAGGAAACUGGGGCUAAUACCGGUUCGGAAUCCUUGCUUCAUGGUGGUGGUUGGAAAGCUUCAGCGGUUUUGGAUGUACUCGCGGCUUAUCAGCUUGCUGGUGGGGCAGUGGCUUACCAAGGCUGUGACGGGUAGCCGGCCUGCAAGGGCGACCGGACACAGUGGGACUGAGAGACGGCCAGGACUCGGACGGGAGGCAGCAGGGGGGAAUAUUUCACGAUGGGCGGAAGCCUGAUGCAGCAACGCCGCGGGCGGGAGGACGGCCUUCGGGUUGUAAACCGCUUUCAGCAGGGGCGAAGCUUGUGGUGACGGUACCUUCAGAAGAAGCACCGGCUAACUACGUG